UCUUAAAGUUUGACCUCAAAUCAGGUAGGAGUACCCGCUGAACUUAAGCAUAUCAAUAAGCGGAGGAAAAGAAACCAACCGGGAUUGCCUUAGUAACGGCGAGUGAAGCGGCAAAAGCUCAAAUUUGAAAUCUGGUACCUUUGGUGCCCGAGUUGUAAUUUGGAGAGGGCAACUUUGGGACCGUUCCUUGUCUAUGUUCCUUGGAACAGGACGUCAUAGAGGGUGAGAAUCCCGUGUGGCGAGGAGUGCGGUUCUAUGUAAAGUGCCUUCGAAGAGUCGAGUUGUUUGGGAAUGCAGCUCUAAGUGGGUGGUAAAUUCCAUCUAAAGCUAAAUAUUGGCGAGAGACCGAUAGCGAACAAGUACAGUGAUGGAAAGAUGAAAAGAACUUUGAAAAGAGAGUGAAAAAGUACGUGAAAUUGUUGAAAGGGAAGGGCAUUUGAUCAGACAUGGUGUUUUGCGCCCUCUGCUCCUUGUGGGUGGGGGAAUCUCGCAGUUCACUGGGCCAGCAUCAGUUUUGGUGGCAGGAUAAAUCCGUAGGAAUGUAACUUGCUUCGGGAAGUAUUAUAGCCUAUGGGAAUACUGCCAGCUGGGACUGAGGACUGCGACGUAAGUCAAGGAUGCUGGCAUAAUGGUUAUAUGCCGCCCGUCUUGAAACACGGAC
rnacentral:rRNA from 1 species